CGGUGCCCGUGGUGUCGUGUUGCAGGCGCUGUGGUAGGCGGGGCCGUCGUUUAAUGUCAAGUAGUAUUUCUUUUAACAUGCCCAUCUGGGUCGCCAACGUCGAAUUGAACUUGUUGACUCUUCGAGCAUAUCAGGCAUCGCGUAAUGAGUUCUCAUAGUGCCGCUAUCUAACUAGCGAACGCUAGCUACAGUCAUGCCAGUGCCACUGAGCCGGUACACAUAUAUGCUCGGUGUGCAAACAUUGUUUAUUUUUGCUGACAUGUGCUUCAAUAUUGUUGCUGACACGGUUCGGAUGGAGAAUGUACUGCGCCUUAUCCUGUUCAUAAUACAAGACGUCACCUUGGUGUUCUCUCUGAUCGUGGUAUUCCUCAAUUUCGUCAGCACAUAUGUCUUCCAGGCUGGUCUGGUGGGGGUUUUGCUCUCCAAGUUCCGCGUGCCACUCAUGCUGAAUGCGGCAUAUCUGGGCCUCAGCAUAGGCCUGCACUCCUGGAGUCUCCGGCGGCAGUGGGACGACCCGUACCUGCUCGUAUGGACGCCGGGUUUGGUGGCGCUCCACUCCGUCCAUAGGAUGGUCGCGGUGCUUCAUUACUACUUUUACAAGAGGACUGCUCUCGAGCUAUGCAAUCCAGAGCUUUAUGAGGACUCGCCGUGGCUGCAAAAGUACCUGCAUGGAUCCUAGUCUGCUGGUUCUGUGGGUGGGUCACCCGCCAGCAUUCUGUGCCCUGCUCAGUGUUAGGAGAGACUUCGGCCACGAGUGAACACGUUUCUAUGCCUGCUGCGAAGUGCAUUGGUCGGUAAACAUUGCAGAUCCAUUACAGCCCACGUCUUGUCUGAAUGCAACCUCCGGUAAAGAAAGCUCCAGUAAGAUGGCAUCUGAGAUGAGGACGCUAUGUGGUCCAGACCUCUCGCACUGUAGUUUAGGAAGCAUGUCUCUCUGGUGUGGCAGGCGUGGCGAUGAUGGUGCCCUGGCGUUUCAUGUUGAAAACUAUUUGCAUUGUGUAUUAUUCGAACCAUCAGUAGACUAUCAGCUUUUCAGACGGUUCAUCAAUAAAUCAUCACGGAAGUGCCAACGCGCCCAAAUCGUGCCAGAGCUCCUUUUUCUCCGCGGGGAGUAAAGGAGCUCAUUAUGCCCCACAGAAGACAUUAGAUGCGCUGGAUGGGUUUAUUCUCCCCUUGUCUACGCCGUAAACCGAUGUGCUGCACUAACGUUUCGUUUGAUUCGGUCUCUUCAAGUGUCUGAAAAUGUAAUAGUAGCUACUUUAAGGGCGUGUACCACCAUUGAGAUCAAGUUUCCUUCAUAUAGGUAUGUGGUGCCGCGAUCAGUCGUGUCCGACUUUGGAUAAGUUGUUUCGAUUUUGCCUUCAUGAGCUAAUUUUUUUCAAUUUCAAGCAAUUUUGGCGUGAGUCUUCAAUCAAGUUCCGUACUUAUCGCUACCAAAAACGUUUUGGUUCUUGUAAUGAAUUGAAUGGGAGGCUGUGUAUUUUAUUCGGAUUGGACACACUAUUUGCACCCUCACAAUCCAGUGCAUUCUCAUACGAUAGCGGUUCAGUGCAGGACAUGUAUUUCAUUCCUGCUACCAGCACCAAAGCUCAGUAUUAGUGAAUACGGCGACUUGGUUGGACCCUUUCAAAGACACGUUGAAUGGUUACCGGUUAACGCCAGUGGCGUGACAAAAUUCGCCCAGCUUUGUGCCAGGCAGGACAAAAUCAAUUAAUGUCAUCAGACCUCUUUCUCCGCCGUCUCCGCCUCUGCCACGCUUCCUUAGUGCGUGAGAAACGCGUCUCCUGUCCUCAUCGGUGGUGCCGUCCAUGAUAGCGGCGGUACUUCAGUUGGGAUGCUGCUUACAUCUGUGGCUGGCCGUUUAAGACUUGGAGUGUUAUGAAAAUCUGUUGUUUUUUCAUGUUUCGGCAGAUAUAAAUGCAUUGUCUAGUGGUACAUGCACUGACAAGCAGCAACGUCUCGCCGAAGGUUACGCUCUCAUACCGAAGGGUAUUUGCCAUUCCUCCAAAGUGGGCCUCCCUUGUAAUGUCGACAUGGAUGUGGUACCGCGUCAAUCCUGACCUAACAUGCAAUGUGUGCUACGCGCGGUUGCGUACCAGCGCGGGUUGAUGUUUGGCGGUGCCGGCCGAAUUGCCGAGUGAGCUUCUCACCGUGUGCAUACACCCUUGAAUGCCUGUCGGAUUGCAUAAUGCCGGGUUUUCAGACACAGCUCAACACGGCGCCGGUUGCUGGCCUGGCGUGAACAUGUCGGUGACGAAAGAGAAGGGAAAAAGAAUCGGUGCAGUUAGUGGCAGCAAUCGUGUGGCGUUUCCACUGACCCUUUAGUACCUACAUUUCGUAUGCAGCGUAAGGGGAAAUAACCGCGAAUGCUUUUGUACCUCAAGUGACGUUUCACCAGGCAUGCUCGAAGCUGCCGCCGCCAAUCGCAGCCAAGCUGUACGUAGAGCCGUUUUGGAUGCAACGCUCGAUAUUUGCUUGGUGUACUUUUUAAACAGGUCGUUUAAGUAACGGGUUUCUUGUCAGUGUUACCUUUCACGAUGGUAACACCGCGGCUUACGUGUGCGUUUUUGACAAAAAAAAUACAAUAUUCGCUCGAUUAUUGGUUUGCGGGGAACUAGACGGAACCGGAACGGGUCGAUCUGACCCGGUCCUGUCUCACCUUGUUAGAAGAAGUGCAGCCUGAACUGGUCCUGUUCUGGGACCCCCGUCUUGUUCCAGCUGUCUCUUUGUCUGAUUCACUCCGGUUCGGGGUUUGGCGAGGCUGUUUUUGGAACCAAGAUUAAGGUUUAUUUGAACCGGCGCUGUUGUGAAGAUGUGGUCGUCCAUGGCAAAGUGAAAUACAGUUAGGAGGAGUAUCGCGCUUUCUUUGUACCUGUCACUUAUUGUUAUCAGACGUGUACGAUUUCAUCAGUAAUACCAUU
rnacentral:lncRNA from 1 species